AUGUAAAAGUGCUUCUUUGAGCCCGCUUGUGCACCUCUGGGCGGACUGGCAGCGAUGCAGAUUCAUCCCAUCCGGCUGCCUUAAAGCUCCUGAGUGAUUCAUUGCAUCUGUCAAUCUGCAGGUCAUGAAAAUCAAGGCAUCCAGCCUCCUCAGAGCUAUUGCUGUACACCCAGCUCCAAAUAGAGAGCGACCACGUGGGAACAAUCUGUUUGUAUGACUUUGCAUUGAUUUGUUUGACAGAUGAAGCAGCUGCACAAUUUGCAUCCCCGCAUCGGAGUUGCCUUGGAGAAAGACUGUGUCUUUGUGAAGUCAUGCCAAAUGUUAUUUUAUCUGGUGGUUUUCUUAAUGUUUGUCUGUUUUCAACAGCAUUUUCUGACGAGUGGAAUUUAUGUGAAAUAAUUGCAAUGCACACAUCGCAUCCUUACACACUACAUGCAAUGAUCAAAAAAGUAACAUUUGUCCAUUUUGAUUAUGAAUGUUUUUUUUUUUUUUUUGUCUGUAUGUGCACUGUGAUUGGCUGGUGGAGAGCCUGGGAUGCAUCUCCAGAUCACCCUUCACCCAUGCACUAGUGCAAAGGGAAUAGAAAAGCAAUGAAUGGACAUUACAAGACUUUUCAAAUGUAUUGUCAGUAUAUGUAUAACACAAACCCCAACUGCAAUCAAGUUGGGACAUUGUGUAAAAUGGGAAUAAAUACAAU